rnacentral:lncRNA from 1 species
CGCAGGGCUUGCUGCUUACCGGUGCAGGGGGAUGGAUGCUGGCGGAGCUCAGGGUCAUUUUUCCUCUGGAAAUUUCUCCGUGUUUUAGUUGUCAGUGGGCAGGCAUGGACCAGGCUGGGGGUGCUAGAGUACUCAUCCAAUGCUUCCACGACCUGGAGAAGCCAGCACAGCCUUUGCUACUCAAGUCUCUCACCCUCAGUCUCUCCUCCAUCACUGAUGGACCCUUUCCUGCUGUUCCUGGUUCCCAAGACACAGAGGUCCUGGGUUACUUGGUUUUGUCUCCACAACAAUCAUAAGCAACCCCAGCAACGUCCAGAGUGGCCUCACCCACUUUGACCCUCAGGAUCACCCUCCAUGGAGUCCCACCGCUGUACUUUGCAUUGCUG